UGUAAGUGUCCCUGAAUCCUGAAUUGAUGU
rnacentral:piRNA from 1 species